rnacentral:lncRNA from 1 species
UUAGAAUUGUGCCCAGCAGAACUGGUGACUGCAUCAGCCUAAGUGGAUUAGUCUGCUUGGCUGCCAUAACUGGGAGUCUUAACAGAAAUUUAACUUCUCACAGUUCUGGGGCCUGGAAAUCCAAGGUCAAGGUGCUGGAGGGGUUGUUUUCUGGUGAGGGCUCUCUUCCCGGUUUGCAGACAGCCUUCUCCUCACCAUGUCUUCACAGGGCAGAGAGAGCAAGCUCCGCUGUCUCUUCCUCUUCUUAUAAGGAUGUCAGUUUUGUUGGAUUAGGGCCCCAUCCUUAUGACAUCAUUUAACCCUAAAAAAAACGCCUUAUCUUCAAAUACAGUCAGACUGGAGGUGAGGGCUAAAACAAGGAUUUUGAGAAGGACACAAUUCACUUCAUAAAGCUCGUGAGCCCUGAGGAUGGGCAGCCUAUCUUCCACUCCCUCAGAAUGUCUUCACAUCUCCUAACAAAGGAUGAACAAAGAACAGAGCCCUUCAGAACAACAGAAACACAGUAUUGGAGCCAACCUCACAUUGACUAAUCCCCAGGAAGGCACACAGGCUCAGUCACAGUCAGAGAAUAUUUGAAGGGAAAAGGCCUUUGAGAUCAUCCAGUUCAGUUUUCCCAACACGGGUCCAGGAUGUCAUCAGUCACAACUGACGUUCCUGGAAAAAAGAUAUCAUGGCAAGGUAAGUUUGGGCUA